CCUCUCCCGAGAAAAGAUCGAGUGCUCCUCAGACACCGUCUCCCCUCUCUCUCUCAACACACAGAAAAAUUUCAAUGUUCAAUUUGGUCACCGGAGUUGCUUCGCCGGAAAAUUGAUCGGUCAGCAAUCGACGAUCGGCCUUCCGACUACCUGUACAGAUGGAAUUCAUCACAGUCCCUUCGUACUGACACUCGUAAAGAAAGAAUCUUUAAGGCCUCGACCGAAGAGUGAAAGUGAAAUCAAUUUACUGUGAAGUGGAAGAAGCAAAAUGUCUUUCCAGAACAAGGGAUUUUGGAUGCCAAAGGGUGCUGGACAUGUUAAUGAUGGAGAUGCAACUUACGGCAACCCUUC